UACGAAGGGGGCUAGCGUUGUUCGGAAUCACUGGGCGUAAAGCGUACGUAGGCGGACCAUUAAGUCGGGGGUGAAAUCCCAGGGCUCAACCCUGGAACUGCCUUCGAUACUGGUGGUCUGGAGUCCGGGAGAGGUGAGUGGAACUCCUAGUGUAGAGGUGAAAUGCGCAGAUAUCAGGAGGAACACCGGUGGCGAAGGCGGGUCUCUGGGCCGAUACUGACGCUGAGGAGCGAAAGCGUGGGGAGCGAACAGG
rnacentral:rRNA from 1 species